UCAUGGAAACACGUACUUCUCUGUGCUUUUGUGAACUUGCGCUGCUAGUGGUGUUGAGAGUCCAUGAACUGGGAAAAUGUUGGGCAAGUAAAAAGGUACUGAGACCUGAGGAAACCAGUUACACAUCACAUAGAGAUAACUGGAAAUGACACCAUCACUGGAAUGCUGUCCAGCAUCUUGCAUCAUAUAUCCGGAGCUUAAAGUUGGAGACUGGAGUCUGGAGCAGCACUGGGAUGCAUGUGCUGGCCAUGCCUGGAGAAUUCCAGCCUGUCCUUUAGGAUUCUGGUCCUAUUUUUAUCUUGUCACUUAGUCAUUCUGGGCUACAUUUUCUUUACUCAUAAAAUGAAAGAGUUGGGUGAAAUAAUAAAACCUUAGAGUGCUUGCCACUU